rnacentral:rRNA from 1 species
UACGAAGGGGGCUAGCGUUGCUCGGAAUCACUGGGCGUAAAGCGCACGUAGGCGGAUUGUUAAGUCAGGGGUGAAAUCCUGGAGCUCAACUCCAGAACUGCCUUUGAUACUGGGUAUCUGGAGUCCGAGAGAGGUGAGUGGAAUUCCGAGUGUAGAGGUGAAAUUCGUAGAUAUUGGGAAGAACACCAGUGGCGAAGGCGGCUAACUGGUCCAGAUCUGACGCUGAGGUGCGAAAGCGUGGGGAGCAAACAGG